rnacentral:tRNA from 1 species
GAUCCCGUCAGCAAGCAUUCCCCAUCCUGGAGGACCAUGACCAAUGAUUACUGUACGCUGCAAAGAAUGUGG